GCUUAGAAAGAAUAAUAAUUCAAAAGGCUCCCAUUCUAUGUGCUGCUCACAUGGGGCUGGGCGCGAGUCACACGCCAGAGCACUUUGAACUUGCUGGCUGCUGCUCUGACUCCAUUGAGCCUCCCAAGCACUCUGAAGUGCGGGAUCAGGGCUUGGGCCUUAUUGGCACGGCGACUGGGGGAAGGCAGGAAUAGCGAGGCCACGUUUCCUCGCUAAGCAAAACUUCCUCCCCUCCCCCGUACUAAGCCUACGCCGGGGCCACUGCGAACAGGGACUCACGUUCUGCGCUCACCCGCUAUUCGCUACGAGAUGUCACUUAACUUGGAUACUGAAGAUGACUUCUAUCUGGAAGAAAAUAGAUUCAAGCAGUGUUGUGCAGAGUUCAUUAAACAUUCACAGCAAAUAGGAGAUGGUUGGGAGUGGAAAAGUAUAAAGGACUUUCCUGAUGGCUAUAUGAGUAAAACACACUUCCAAAUGAAAAAUGGAAAUAUCCCAUCAAUUUUCAAGGACAGCACUAAGGAAAGUGAUGAGCAAACAUUGACACAUGUUGAGGUAAAUACAGCUUUCUCUAUUGA